rnacentral:lncRNA from 10 species
CCAAGAAGCAGCUGCAGCCAAGAGCUCCAUAUUAGAAAUACGAAUUCUCAGGUAUCUCCCAAGACCUACAAAAUCAGAAUCUCUGGGAGUGUGGCCCACCAAUCUGUGCUUUAAUCAGCCCUUUGGUGAUUCAGAUGUGCCAGCUCACCACCUGGUUACAGUAGUGAUUAGCUUAGCUGGACUAAAAAGGGAGGUGGCCUGAACUAGUAUCAGAGCUGGCUCUUAAGGACACAUAGGAGAAACCAGGCAGACAGAGAAGGCUGUGCAAAGGCCCGGAGAGGAAGUUGGAGGUGUCUGGAGAGAGACAGCCCAGGAAAGAGGCUGAGAAUCACCCAGAAAACCCUUGAAGGCCACUGUUUGCAGACGCAGAGCUUUGCUCAGCCAUUGGCCCUUCGAGGUUGAGCCUCGCAGGGAGUCUGCCUCCCACCUCCCCACGCUCAGCUGUGGUUAAGCUGGUUCACCUUCCUGAAGAGAAAGGCUGCUGAUACUGAAAACGAUUUCCAGUCUGAUAAAAUCGAGAUGGCGCCCAGAACUCACUUUUCACUCCAGGAGAGUCAAGGCUGUGGAGACCUAGUAAUUAUUGGUUCCUAUAGGAGCCAAGGCAGGAAAGAACUAAAUUGGAGAGAGUGACGGGGAGAAAGGUGAGGGGUCGGGGGGAGAGCGCCUGAGGACCUCGUCUGUGGUUAGCAUUCUAAGUGUAGUUGUAAAGAACGGAGGAUGGUUCCUGUUGACAUUUGUGGUUUCUGUCGGCCUGAAUCUUUUAGACAUUUUUCACCAAAUUAUCCCCAACGGUGGUGCAUGUGUGUGUGUGAUCCCAGGAGCUGGAGGAGUGGCUGGGGGGCAGCCAGCGAGAAGCUGAAGUUGUCUCAAUUUUGUCUUUAAAAAUGUGUGUGUCUGUAUUUUUGUUUUAAUAUAAUCAAUGGCUCAAUGCUUAGUGAAAUAAAUAAUUCUGUGAUCCUAGGGUUUCAUCCCAGGCAGUGUGCAUCUCGUCCUCUGAAAAGCAGAGGGGCAGGCUUUAGAAAGGCAUUGUCUUCUAGGGAGGUGGAAUUUCCAUGGAGGGGACAUUUUAGAGGAAGAACUAUUAAUAAAUCAACCAUCUGUGUGGUGAGCACACAGGGGUUGGGGUGAAGGGAGGGUGCUUGGGGUGUCCUUUGACAUGAGGCUGUGGCAAGCAGCUCUUUUUAGUUAGUGUCCCAACAAGUCCCAACUCAUAGUCCCACCCAGGAAGGGUGGGCGGGAGGCCCAAGGCAGGUGGAAAGCAGGUAAGGCAGGCACAGCUACGGGAGCCACAGCUGGUGCUCAGACACACACUCAAACCCACGCUAGCCUAAGAGCAUGCUCAGGGCCUCUGGAGGGGCUGCG